rnacentral:lncRNA from 1 species
GAUUCGUACGGUGUUUGUUUUGAUCAUAGCAAACGCACUCUAUCCCAAAACCACAUCAAAUUAAUGUUUUGAGGCAAUUUCUUCAUUUGCCAGACUAACCGGUUUUUGGUGUUUCCUCCAAAACUCGUUUGGAAAGGAGCACAUGGCAGUGAUCUUACGGAGGUUGGUCGGAUUAUAUUUAUUUUUUACUUUUAUUUUAUAUUCUAAUUUUAUGGGAG